rnacentral:rRNA from 1 species
GACGAACGCUGGCGGCGUGCUUAACACAUGCAAGUCGAGCGGUAAGGCCCUUUCGGGGGUACACGAGCGGCGAACGGGUGAGUAACACGUGGGUGACCUGCCCUUAGCUCUGGGAUAAGCCUGGGAAACUGGGUCUAAUACCGGAUAUGACUCCAUGACGCAUGUUGUGGGGUGGAAAGCCUUGUGCGGCUAGGGAUGGGCCCGCGGCCUAUCAGCUUGUUGGUGGGGUGANGGCCUACCAAGGCGACGACGGGUAGCCGGCCUGAGAGGGCGACCGGCCACACUGGGACUGAGAUACGGCCCAGACUCCUACGGGAGGCAGCAGUGGGGAAUCUUGCGCAAUGGGCGAAAGCCUGACGCAGCGACGCCGCGUGAGGGAUGACGGCCUGGUUGUAACU